AUAUUAUUAAGCGGAGGAAAAGAAACUAACCAGGAUUCCCCUAGUAACGGCGAGUGAAGCGGGAAGAGCUCAACGUUAAAAUCGGUGCACCUAGCGGUGUUUCCGAAUUGUAAUCUCGAGACACUUGCUCAGCUUCGACCCGGGUAGAAAUCUUUUGAAACAAGGUCUCAGAGAGGGUGAGAAGCCCGUCUUUGACCUGGAGAUCGGGGCGUACGACAGGUGCUCCAAGAGUCGAAUAGCUUGGGAGUGCUGUUCUAAAUGGGUGGUAAAUUUCAUCUAAAGCUAAAUAUCACCGAGAGACCGAUAGCGCACAAGUA
rnacentral:rRNA from 1 species